rnacentral:rRNA from 1 species
AGUCGAGGGGUAUAGUAGCAAUACUAGAGACCGGCGCACGGGUGCGUAACGCGUAUGCAAUCUACCUUUUGCAGAGGGAUAGCCCAGAGAAAUUUGGAUUAAUACCUCAUAGUAUAACGACUCGGCAUCGAGAUGUUAUUAAAGUCACAACGGCAAAAGAUGAGCAUGCGUCCCAUUAGUUAGUUGGUAAGGUAACGGCUUACCAAGACUACGAUGGGUAGGGGUCCUGAGAGGGAGAUCCCCCACACUGGUACUGAGACACGGACCAGACUCCUACGGGAGGCAGCAGUGAGGAAUAUUGGACAAUGGGCGCAAGCCUGAUCCAGCCAUGCCGCGUGCAGGAUGACGGUCCUAUGGAUUGUAAACUGCUUUUGCACAGGAAGAAACAACGCUACGUGUAGCGUCUUGACGGUACUGUGAGAAUAAGGAUCGGCUAACUCCGUGCCAGCAGCCGCGGUAAUACGGAGGAUCCAAGCGUUAUCCGGAAUCAUUGGGUUUAAAGGGUCCGUAGGCGGUCUUAUAAGUCAGUGGUGAAAUCUCCCCGCUCAACGGGGAAACGGCCAUUGAUACUGUAGGACUUGAAUUAUUAGGAAGUAACUAGAAUAUGUAGUGUAGCGGUGAAAUGCUUAGAGAUUACAUGGAAUACCAAUUGCGAAGGCAGGUUACUACUAAUGGAUUGACGCUGAUGGACGAAAGCGUGGGUAGCGAACAGGAUUAGAUACCCUGGUAGUCCACGCCGUAAACGAUGGAUACUAGCUGUUGGGCGCAAGUUCAGUGGCUAAGCGAAAGUGAUAAGUAUCCCACCUGGG